rnacentral:rRNA from 1 species
GACGAACUCUGGCGGCGCGCCUAACACAUGCAAGUCGAACGAGAGAUGAGGAGCUUGCUCUUCAAAUCGAGUGGCGAACGGGUGAGUAACGCGUGAGGAACCUGCCUUAAAGAGGGGGACAACAGUUGGAAACGACUGCUAAUACCGCAUAAGCCCACGGCUCGGCAUCGAGCAGAGGGAAAAGGAGCAAUCCGCUUUGAGAUGGCCUCGCGUCCGAUUAGCUAGUUGGUGAGGUAACGGCCCACCAAGGCGACGAUCGGUAGCCGGACUGGGAGGUUGAACGGCCACAUUGGGACUGAGACACGGCCCAGACUCCUACGGGAGGCAGCAGUGGGGAAUAUUGCACAAUGGGGGAAACCCUGAUGCAGCGACGCCGCGUGGAGGAAGAAGGUCUUCGGAUUGUAAACUCCUGUUGUUGAGGAAGAUAAUGACGGUACUCAACAAGGAAGUGACGGCUAACUACGUGCCAGCAGCCGCGGUAAAACGUAGGUCACAAGCGUUGUCCGGAAUUACUGGGUGUAAAGGGAGCGCAGGCGGGAGAACAAGUUGGAAGUGAAAUCCAUGGGCUCAACCCAUGAACUGCUUUCAAAACUGUUUUUCUUGAGUAGUGCAGAGGUAGGCGGAAUUCCCGGUGUAGCGGUGGAAUGCGUAGAUAUCGGGAGGAACACCAGUGGCGAAGGCGGCCUACUGGGCACCAACUGACGCUGAGGCUCGAAAGUGUGGGUAGCAAACAGGAUUAGAUACCCUGGUAGUCCACACCGUAAACGAUGAUUACUAGGUGUGGGAGGAAUUGACCCCUUCAGUGCCGCAGUUAACACAAUAAGUAAUCCACCUGGGGAGUACGACCGCAAGGUUGAAACUCAAAGGAAUUGACGGGGGCCCGCACAAGCAGUGGAGUAUGUGGUUUAAUUCGACGCAACGCGAAGAACCUUACCAAGUCUUGACAUCCCUUGACGAUGCUGGAAACAGUAUUUCUCUUCGGAGCAAGGAGACAGGUGGUGCAUGGUUGUCGUCAGCUCGUGUCGUGAGAUGUUGGGUUAAGUCCCGCAACGAGCGCAACCCUUAUGGUCAGUUACUACGCAAGAGGACUCUGGCCAGACUGCCGUUGACAAAACGGAGGAAGGUGGGGAUGACGUCAAAUCAUCAUGCCCUUUAUGACUUGGGCUACACACGUACUACAAUGGCGUUAAACAAAGAGAAGCAAGACCGCGAGGUGGAGCAAAACUCAGAAACAACGUCCCAGUUCGGACUGCAGGCUGCAACUCGCCUGCACGAAGUCGGAAUUGCUAGUAAUCGUGGAUCAGCAUGCCACGGUGAAUACGUUCCCGGGCCUUGCACA